GGCCUAACACAUGCAAGUCGAGCGGUAGCACAGAGAGCUUGCUCUCGGGUGACGAGCGGCGGACGGGUGAGUAAUGUCUGGGAAACUGCCUGAUGGAGGGGGAUAACUACUGGAAACGGUAGCUAAUACCGCAUAACGUCGCAAGACCAAAGUGGGGGACCUUCGGGCCUCAUGCCAUCAGAUGUGCCCAGAUGGGAUUAGCUAGUAGGUGGGGUAACGGCUCACCUAGGCGACGAUCCCUAGCUGGUCUGAGAGGAUGACCAGCCACACUGGAACUGAGACACGGUCCAGACUCCUACGGGAGGCAGCAGUGGGGAAUAUUGCACAAUGGGCGCAAGCCUGAUGCACCCAUGCCGCGUGUGUGAAGAAGGCCUUCGGGUUGUAAAGCACUUUCAGCGGGGAGGAAGGCGAUAAGGUUAAUAACCUUGUCGAUUGACGUUACCCGCAGAAGAAGCACCGGCUAACUCCGUGCC
rnacentral:rRNA from 1 species